AUUGAACGCUGGCGGCAGGCCUAACACAUGCAAGUCGAACGGGUGGCGGACGGGUAAGUAAUGUCUGGGUACCUGCUCGAUGGAGAGGGCUAACUCCUGGAAACGGUAGCAACUAACGCAUCCAAUCGGACCUGCCCAGAUGGGAAUAGCUAGUAGGUGGGGUAACGGCUCACCCAGGCGACGAUCCCUAGCUGGUCUGAGAGGAUGACCAGCCACACUGGAACUGAGACACGGUCCAGACUCCUACGGGAGGCAGCAGUGGGGAAUAUUGCACAAUGGGCGCAAGCCUGAUGCAGCCAUGCCGCGUGUGUGAAGAAGGCCUUCGGGUUGUAAAGUACUUUAAGCUAGGAGGCGUUACUCGCAGAAGAAGCACCGGCUAACUCCGUGCCAGCCGCCGCGGUAAUAC
rnacentral:rRNA from 1 species